rnacentral:rRNA from 1 species
GAUGAACGCUGGCGGCGUGCCUAACACAUGCAAGUCGAACGGAGUCCAGCCUUUAAGACCUUCGGGUCAAAGAGGGGAAGACUGAGUGGCGGACGGGUGAGUAACACGUGGGCAACCUGGCUCAUAGAGGGGGAUAACAGAGAGAAAUUUCUGCUAAUACCGCAUAAGCACACACUGCCGCAUGGCAGAGGGUGAAAAGAGAAUCGCUAUGAGAUGGACUCGCGUCUGAUUAGCCAGUUGGCAGGGUAAGAGCCUACCAAAGCGACGAUCAGUAGCCGAUCUGAGAGGAUGAACGGCCACAUUGGGACUGAGACACGGCCCAAACUCCUACGGGAGGCAGCAGUGGGGGAUAUUGCACAAUGGGGGGAACCCUGAUGCAGCGACGCCGCGUGAGUGAAGAAGUAUUUCGGUAUGUAAAGCUCUAUCAGCAGGGAAGAUAAUGACAGUACCUGAAUAAGAAGCCCCGGCUAACUACGUG